rnacentral:lncRNA from 1 species
GGAUAAUUGCCUGUAUAUCCCUCAAAAGUUCGAAAAUAUCUUAUUUUCUCUUUUUUUUGUCUUUUCAAUAUACUCCUCAUGUGUUAUUCUGUUAUUCAAAAAUAACUCUAUAGUUACCACAUAUUAAGUUAACUUAGGUUAAACGUAAGUUAAAUAUUUAUCAGAGUUAAAGAAAUAAAUUACCUAAUUUGCUCUUAACUUAAAGAUAAAUAAGAAAUGUUAGUAAUGGUAGAAGGUAUAUUUAAAAAGAUAAAAAAUUAAAAUAUUUCUUAUGUCUCUAACUUAAGGGUAAAUAAGAAAAAACGGUAAUAAUAGAAGGGUAUAUUUAAAAUGGCAAAAUAGUAAUUUUACAGAAAUAACAACUAUUGCUAACAGUUCAUUAACAAAAUUUAACUCUAAAAAUAUAUUUAAAAUAAAUUAAAAUAUUAAAAAUAUAUAUCUAAUAUUAAUUUUUAAAAAAUAAAUUAAAAAGUUAUAAAUUUUUUAGAAAUAUAUAAGCGAUUGUACCUUGAAAA